rnacentral:rRNA from 1 species
AUUGAACGCUGGCGGCAGGCCUAACACAUGCAAGUCGAGCGGAUGAAGGGAGCUUGCUCCUGGAUUCAGCGGCGGACGGGUGAGUAAUGCCUAGGAAUCUGCCUGGUAGUGGGGGAUAACGUCCGGAAACGGGCGCUAAUACCGCAUACGUCCUGAGGGAGAAAGUGGGGGAUCUUCGGACCUCACGCUAUCAGAUGAGCCUAGGUCGGAUUAGCUAGUUGGUGUGGUAAAGGCCUACCAAGGCGACGAUCCGUAACUGGUCUGAGAGGAUGAUCAGUCACACUGGAACUGAGACACGGUCCAGACUCCUACGGGAGGCAGCAGUGGGGUAUAUUGGACAAUGGGCGAAAGCCUGAUCCAGCCAUGCCGCGUGUGUGAAGAAGGUCUUCGGAUUGUAAAGCACUUUAAGUUGGGAGGAAGGGCAGUAAGUUAAUACCUUGCUGUUUUGACGUUACCAACAGAAUAAGCACCGGCUAACUUCGUG